AAUCAGAGGCAUAAUAUGUCAUCCACAGAUCCCCCAUAACAAUGUGUCAUCCACAGAUCCCCCAUAACAGUGCACCUGCGUACUGAGGAGAGAUAGAAAGGAGGGGAAAGAAUCCGCGGUAGCAAGCAGAGGACAGCACAGCAGAUGACUGAAUAGAUUAUUUUGUAAGUAAAUUGUUUUAUUAUA